rnacentral:hammerhead_ribozyme from 1 species
AUCCAGCUGAUGAGUUCCAAAUGGGACGAAACGUGCAUCCUGGAU